UACGUAGGGGCCAAGCGUUGUCCGGAUUUAUUGGGCGUAAAGAGCUCGUAGGUGGUUCGGCAAGUCAGUUGUGGAAAUCUCCGCGCUCAACGCGGAGGGGUCAGCUGAAACUGCUGUGACUUGAGUCUGGUAGGGGAGUGUGGAAUUCCCGGUGUAGCGGUGAAAUGCGCAGAUAUCGGGAGGAACACCAGUGGCGAAGGCGGCUUCCUGGACCUGUUCGU
rnacentral:rRNA from 1 species